rnacentral:rRNA from 1 species
UACGUAGGUGGCAAGCGUUGUCCGGAUUUACUGGGCGUAAAGAGCGCGCAGGCGGCCCAGUCAGUCGAAUGUGAAAGCCCCCGGCUCAACUGGGGAGGGUCAUUCGAUACUGCUCGGCUCGAAGACAGGAGAGGGAAGUGGAAUUCCCGGUGUAGUGGUGAAAUGCGUAGAUAUCGGGAGGAACACCAGUGGCGAAGGCGACUUUCUGGCCUGUUCUUGACGCUGAGGCGCGAAAGCUAGGGGAGCAAACGGG